rnacentral:rRNA from 1 species
UGUGUAGGUGGCCUGUUAAGUUCCGUGUGAAAUCUCCCGGCUCAACCGGGAGGGUGCGCGGGAUACUGACGGGCUAGAGUGCGGGAUGGGAGAGUAGAAUUCCUGGUGUAGCGGUGAAAUGCGUAGAUAUCAGGAGGAAUACCGGUGGUGUAGACGGCUCUCUGGACCGCAACUGACGCUGAGACACGAAAGCGUGGGUAGCAAACAGGAUUAGAUACCCUGGUAGUCCACGCCCUAAACGAUGCAUAUUUGGUGUAGGUCAUUCAGUUGAUCUGUGCCGGAGCUAACGCGUUAAAUAUGCCGCCUGGGGAGUACAGUCGCAAGGCUGAA